rnacentral:rRNA from 1 species
UGGGGAAUUUUGGACAAUGGGCGCAAGCCUGAUCCAGCCAUGCCGCGUGUCUGAAGAAGGCCUUCGGGUUGUAAAGGACUUUUGUCAGGGAAGAAAAGGCUGUCGCUAAUACCGACAGUUGAUGACGGUACCUGAAGAAUAAGCACCGGCUAACUACGUGCCAGCAGCCGCGGUAAUACGUAGGGUGCAAGCGUUAAUCGGAAUUACUGGGCGUAAAGCGAGCGCAGACGGUUACUUAAGCAGGAUGUGAAAUCCCCGGGCUCAACCUGGGAACUGCGUUCUGAACUGGGUGACUAGAGUGUGUCAGAGGGAGGUAGAAUUCCACGUGUAGCAGUGAAAUGCGUAGAGAUGUGGAGGAAUACCGAUGGCGAAGGCAGCCUCCUGGGAUAACACUGACGUUCAUGCUCGAAAGCGUGGGUAGCAAACAGGAUUAGAUACCCUGGUAGUCCACGCCCUAAACGAUGUCAAUUAGCUGUUGGGCAACUUGAUUGCUUAGUAGCGUANCUAACGCGUGAAAUUGACCGCCUGGGGAGUACGGUCGCAAGAUUA